AAAAGACUUCCUGAUACCUAGCAAUUGACCACUUCUAUCAACUUCCCCUCUGGUAUUAGGCGGCUGUCCCUCUGCCUCCCCGGGCCCGCCCUGGCCGUCCUGCCAAAAACAAGAGGAGGAAACUGGCCCCAUAGCAGCCAUACCUGGAGCUGGAUCUGACCCUGAUUGGGGAGAGCUGAGUGCUGAGCCUUGGGAGCCCCUGCCAGCCACCUGCACCUGUGGACAGUGGGUGGGGGCACUACUCCCCACUCAGAGCACAAAUGCAACUCCUUCCCCUACAAUCCCAUCCUGAGCCAUUGCAGGGGGCAGGGAAGUUCACCCCUCCCCCCACCACCCCCACCCAAGCCAUGUCACUGAAAAGGCCUGGGGGGGAUGGUAUAUGGCCCUUUCCCCACCAGGCGCUAAGGGGAACACCCCCUUCCCCAGGUCUUUUAUUUGUUUAAGUUAUUUUUGCACAAAUGACUCUUUUAUAUUUAAUUCGAUUUCAUUGCCUCCCUUCUUAAAGCCAACAGGCUCAGUUUACAAACCUGUGAGCUACUGUUGGCUGCUGCCCUCCUUCCCAGUGAAAGAGACGUUGUGAUGAUGCGACUGAGGAUUAUGCAACGUGGUCCAACCGGAGCGGCCAGCAUGACCAGCUGUCCAGGGGCUGCCUCCUGCCUUUUCUUUUGUAAAGACAAGACCCUUGGGAGUUUUAAUUCUGUUUUGUACUUGCCCUGUGGGGCCUCCACUGCUUUUCUAUGGGAGACACUCUUAAUUUAACAGAUGAGAAUAUUUUG
rnacentral:lncRNA from 1 species